CUCUUCUUCCCCCGUUGUCAGAGGAUGUCUUUUGCUGUUAGAUGCUCACGUGUAAAACGUGAAGCAGGAUACGUGGAAGGCUUUAACAGGCAGGUGCACACACAUUGGCUGCCCGCUUGUCAGCCUCACAGAGCCUCAUAGCACUCCAGGAGCAUGUUUGGGACAGUGCCAUUGCUGUUUGCAGGCAAUACGAAGACACGGAACCUUCUCCCACUCACCAGCAGCAAGAGUGUGUGACUGACACCAGGCAAGGGGCAUGCGCCAGGCCACUGAGGGUGCUGGCCACAGAUCUUGUCUGGAGAAUAAAGGAACAGCCAGAUUGCUUUCGGGAGGCAUCUUCUUCCUUUCACAUCCCUGAGAGCGUGUUUUGCCUGCGACGGAAAGUCAAGCCUCAGCUGAGGACCUUCUGUGUGGUGCUCUGAUUUCUUUGCUAAGUAGUCUGAUUUUUCCCCCCCAGUAAUUUCUAUUUUUAUGCACAGUGACUCUCAAUUGGUGAGAAAAUGAUGAUCACAUAAUCUCUCUUCCUCGAAGCUGCCGAAUGAUUAGCCUCAUUUGCUGCGCGUUCCACUCCACGGCCCGGAAAUGACGCCCCUCUCCAACUCCGGCUAAGCAUGUCAGCUAGAUGGGUUUGACCUUUUCCUGGAAAACAAGGGAGAUGAGAACACGUGAUGUGUGCGCAAACUGAUGCUCAAAUGGGCUAUUUUAGCCAACACUUCAAGAUACAUGCUUCGCUAAACUGGCUGAGAACACACCGGAGCGUUUCCAGUGAGGGCUUUUUAAGGCAUUUAAGAGUCUUGCUAUCUUCAAAAGUAAAGGUAUGACAGAAGACAGCCUGCAGGAGCCAGUUCUCUCCAUCCACCAUGUGGUUACUGGGGGAUCAAAUUCAGAUCAGCAGGUUUGGUGGUACCCUCGGCUUGUUUACACCCUGGAUGAUAAGAAUAAGAAGCUCCGGAUGUGGCGUCAAGAACUUCAGUGCCUCUGUCGUCUGGAUCCCGGGUGAUUGAGAGACUGCAGGAAUUUUUAGAGAUAAGGACCUUAUGAUCCCUUGAGCUACUUUACAAUCUAGCUUAUAACCUGCUUGAGUUCCUGUCCUGACUUCCUUCAGUGAUGAGUAAUGCCAUGAAAGUGUAAACCCAACAAACCCUCUCUUCUGUAAGUUGCUUUUGGUCAUGGCGUCUCAUCUCAUCAACAGUAACCCUAACUAAGAUGUGCGUCGUGUGAGAAAAUGAAUAUUUUCAAAGGGUAAGUAAGAGACGGCACUGGCAAGGAAAUCUGAAGUACAAAUGUUAUCUUAGUUAGGGUUUCACUGCUGUGAACAGACACCAUGACCAAAGACUCUUAUAAGGACAACGUUUAAUUGGGGCUGGCUUACAGGUUCAGAGGCUCAGUCCAUUAUCUACAAGGCAGGAACAUGGCAGCGUCCAGGCAGGCAUGGUAUAGGCAGAGCUGAGAAUUCUACAUCUCCAUCUGAAGGCUGCUAGCAGAAAACUGACUUCCAGGCAGCUAGGAUGAGGGUCUUAAAGCCCAUACCCACAGUGACACACCUACUCCAACAGGGCCACACCUCUUAAUAGUGCCACUCCCUGGCCUGAGCAUAUACAAACCAUCACAAGUGCCAUACUCCCUUAAUGAUAAUGAUAACAACAGACAGUACUGGAUAGAGGAAUUAAUUGUAUAAUAAACAGAUUUAGCAACAGGAGGUCUGAUCUAGAUAGAGAGAAUCAAGUUAAAUGUGGUGUCUCUCAUGUGGCAUCAGAGGUGUUUGGGCUUAUAGUUCUGGUUUCUAGCUUAACUAUACCCUACUCUGUGGAUGAAGAAGUCUGAAUCCUAGGGCAGAUGUAUUUCUAGUUGGAGCUGUGAUCCCAUGUAACCAUGAGUUCUCACCUUUAUCUAUAGCUUGUCACAGCUGCAACUCUUUGAAAUUCUACAACUCCAAUGAGAAAACUGCAGGUACACCAAUAAAGGAAGACAUGCAGAAGCCCAGGACACUAUUUUGUGUCCUAAAACAGACUUGACACUAUUAAGAAGUGUCUACCAGGUUCUUUCCACCUGAGACCCAUGUUGUCAAUCCGACCCAGUGUUAUAAUUAACAGGUACAACAGGCUUCACAUUCAGAUCCUGAGAGCAGAGCAUGAAGUCAGGUCUACUUCUGGCGUCUGUCUCUGUUUUCCUGGCAGUUGACUUAGCUAUAUUUGUACUUGAUGAAGUUGCUCUUACACUAUUUGAAAAGGCUUCGAAUGGACAAAGCUUUGUUCUGACCUUGUUGAGAAUCUUUUGUAAAUGAACAAAACUUCAGCGCUCAAGUGAAUAAUAGUGCCUAGAUGUCCAAUUCAGUACAGUGAACCCGUGGUUCCAUGAGCAGGCCACUAGACUUAAGCCAAUCAAGAGCUGCCUAGUUGCACUUGUACUUGAAAAAAAAAUCACUGUGGUAGUGCCGUAUUACUUACUGCUGCAGCUUGAUUGGGGAGGGUCACAGUGACGUGGGUGUUGUUCAGAUGGAAUGAAGAAGGCGUUUCUAUGUUUUGUUUUUUUUUUAAGAUUUAUUUAUUUAUUAUAUGUUAGUACACUGUAGCUGUCUUCAGCCACUCCAGAAGAGGGAGUGCCAGAUCUUGUUACAGAUGGUUGUGAACCACCAUGUGGUUUCUGGGAUUUGAACUCUGGACCUUCGGAAGAGCAGUCGGGUGCUCUUACCCACUGAGCCAUCUCACCAGCCCCGCGUUUCUAUGUUUAAUGCAAUUCGGGAGAUAGCUGUGGAAAUGGAGUUCUCGCCUUGAUCUACGACAGGAGUUAGCUAGUCUGCAGGAGUUCAUCUCAGGCUGUAAUUAGUUUGUUCAUUAAGAUUGGGGGAGCUCAAUGACACAACUGUGUGAGGUGCCAUCGAAAGCUACCUGAACAUAUGGUGGAAGGAGAAUGCAAAUUUUGUUCCUGAAAGAGAACUCUAAAACAGCCUGGCGCUGUGCUUUUGUUUCGCUCCCGGUAGUGAUUCCCAGGCUGAGUGCGGGAUGCAGAGCUGGUCCUACUCCAGAGCUCCCAGCAUGCAUUGAUUUUAGAUGGGGGAGGGGCACCCAUGUCUUUACAUGUUACGCAUAAUACAUAAAGAUAAACACAACGCACCCACGCGUAUCCCUAGAUAUCUAGGCACACACACAGAGAAGAAGAAAGACUGUUUCAGACUAGCAAGUGAUAAUUCCUAUGUAUACUUAUUAUCAGUAAUCCUGUCUCUUCUGUGUGUGUGUGUGUGUGUGUGUGUGUGUGUUUUCCAUUAAGUUUUAACCUAACAAGGUUUUGUGUUUGGUUAGAGGAAUAUAUACAAACAUGUGGCUGUAUAUACAACAGGUAUAGCUAUAACUAUAACUACUGUUGUGUCCAACUCUUCCAAGAAUUAAGGCUAAUCACUCACAUAUGGACAUUUUAACUUUGCUUAUAAAAUACAAGCACUUAGACAUAGAGAGGCCCUGAAAUUUGUUUGUGUAGUAGAAGCAAACCUGACUUUUGUAAAUUAAAAAAAAAAACAAAACCAUACCUGAUGUGUAAACGCAGGCAGAAGAAUCAAAUCUUCAGCGCUAUUUUUAAGGGAGCCCAGGGGCUUGGGAGCAUGAACUGAAAGGAAGCAAAACUCAAUUUGGGCCAUUAUUCCAAACCACGUUCAAACCUCUCUGUAUUCUUUGUGUGUCAUCCAGAACAUUCUAAAUGAACAUGUGACAUCUAAGCAUCCAGGCAGCGGGGACAAACAGGUGUGGACAGGACAGAUGGAUCCCCAAGCUUUGUGCAAUAAUGGCAAUUGGUUUACUCUACAAUUAGUGCCAAAGGCUAUUUGUUGACUGUGUUGUGUGCUUAUAACACUGUGGGCUCUUCCUCCUGAGCCUCUCCAGCCAACUUGAUGGAUGACAGGGAAGAGGUGCAGUUCUUCUCCCACGACUAAGGUGUUGAACUGGAAGGCUUUGUAAGAGCACAGUGAGACGAUUUGCACGGCUGUGCCGGAGAGUAACACUGUGAAGGGGCUUUAGAUCCUGUGGUUCUUUUUUUUAAAUCUAAAUGUAAUGUUACACUGCAUGUCUGUGUGUGGCUUUCCCAAUCACUUGAAGGCCUUCACUUUCCAGGAAUAGAAAUCUGUUUCUGUGCAGAACCUAACAUGUUGAUGUGAUUGAAUGGUGUUGAGGGAAACAGAGCACGCAGAGAGCUCGUCCACUCAGGCUCCUGCCUUCAGCCACGGCUGCCAUGAGUGGGUUGAGGAAAUCCUGGUAAGGACGAGGUGUGGCAAUCUCAUGCUUGUCAGAGAUGAUCUGCCCCAAGUCGGCAGAGCUACGGUCUGAAUCAAGUAGCUCUAGCAAGGAUCUAGUGAAGACAAAAUCAAAGACGCAGGCAGGCAGCAUCAUCCAGGGCCUGGCCAAUGAGAGCUGAGAGGAAGAGGUCAGGAGUUACAGGGCACAGUGUUGUCUCAUUUUCCAGACUUCCAUAGACUCUCAGGUGACAGAAAGAGCCCUGCACAUAAGAAUGGCACAUGGAAACACCUACUGAGGUUUGAGGAGUUCAAGCUUCGACCUGAUUGCCUCCUACCCCGUGUUAGUCUCACGAAUGUGUUGACAAAGAGAGUAACCAGUCUUUCUCUGACAGUUUAGGACAACAGCUAUUUUUAAAUGUACUCAUUUUAUUGUUUAUCCUGUGUGAGUGAGGGUGGAGGUAGCAGAGUUCUGCUUUCCCAGAUAGCACCCAUUUGACCUCUCGUCUAGACUCUUGGGACCUUCCCAGAGGGAGGUGGUGAAGGAUGCUCCUUCCUAGUGAGCAUUCUUGCUAGGGAAUGCCUAUUGACUGCCUCAGCCUGCAGUCGACAGAAGUGUAUAGAAAAGAAAUAAAGGUUAGGAUCUCUGCCUCUGUAAACUUGAUAACUUUUUUUUUGAGGAGGCGAGAGGAGGUGCUGUUUGCUUAUGGUUACAUUCAUCCAGGUACCAACUAUUAAUUGUGCCAGAAGCAAUCCCUAAUAAAUAGAACAGAGGCCUCCCUGCCUUCCUGGAGAUCAUGGUCAGAGGAAUUUCUUAGUUCAUUCUACUUUAGUUGCCUGCUCCAAUACCCCCAACCUUUUUGCUUAAAUUACUUCCCCCCCCCCUUAAAAACAAAUGAAGAAUAGAAUAAAAUUAAGCAAGGCCCUGUCGUGUUAAAGCUCUGUUAAUUUUACAAGAUGGUUUCAGCACAUUUACUGGAGUCUGGUGAAGAACUGUGAUAAUUAAAAUUCAGCUAUGCUAAUUAAAACAAAUGAGCGGAGUCUGUUUAAUGUCCUUUUCUCCCCUCACAAUUUUUAAUUUCCUUUUUGCCUGCUCCCGCCUUUGUGGAAUUCUGUAAUCCUCACUGGGGAUUCCUGUUACUGGGGAAGUGUAUGAAGUUCCUUGGCGUGGGGAGCCUGCAGACGUCACUUUCCUUUGCUUCGGUGCCCUUACAGCCACAAGGAGUUUAAACUGAUAAGCCUUCUGAAAUUCGGCCCUUCACAAGUCAUUCUUAGAAAUGUUUAUUUUUUUCAAUAUUUAGGAUGAAAACUAAAUUGCUUGUAUAUUUGUUUUCCCCAGUUCAUCUUGAGAAUAGGAGCCGUAUUUUCAACGGCAAAUCAACCAAAUCAAAACUGCCAAGAACAUGUGUAAUAAGAAGGAAGAUGUGUAAUAAGAAGCCACAUCAAAAUGUCCGCAGGGAUUUCCUCUGGGCUGUGACCUGGGGUUGGUCUGUGUCUUCUUGUCUUUUCCUUGCCUGCAAAUUUCAGGCAGGACCAUUUUAUGAGUUAAAAGAACGGCCCUAACAGUGAGCGCCAGCUGACAUGGUAGGAGGAGCCGUAUGCCAUAGGACUCUGAGGAAUGUUCUCAUGAAUCCUGUCUACCCAGAUUGCAACCUGAAUACCAGAACACAUUGUUUGAAUACAUAAUUCAAGGUCAACGAGAAGGUGUUCCAUUGUAUGAUUUAGUCAUGAGCCACCGCUUGGAGCAUCAUCUUUCUGCCAUUAAUGAGUCGCCUUCUACAGCAGCAGGAUUUGGAAACCUUUGAACUGUUUAGAGGAGAGCCUUUGGGUGGGUGUGUUUGCCCUUUUCUGUGUUAAAUUGCUUGUCUCCGGCAGGCAUUUCCCUAACAAAUCGAGUCCUGGUCCCAGUCUGGCUGUUGAAUUGGGAGCCAUUAAUAACUGGCAAUUUGUAGCUGUCAUAAAGAUGCCGGGGACUUUCCAGAUGGCUUUUCCCGCCUUGUGCCAGUCCCUUUGAUGGGAUUUUAAUCAGCAGGCAUUGGUCGUGGUCCUUGGCCCACAGCAGGGACAGAGGUCACCUGUUUACCAUAGCUUUGGUUUUCUGAUGAAAGGGCAAAGCCCCAGGAGGGCAUGUGCUGGGUAUUUUAGGAGCCAGGGGGAAGAGACACUGGAGUAUAAUAUGAGAAUGUAAACCAAACACAACAACAAAAAGUCCAAUUGAACUUUUAAAAUCACCGAGCUAACUUUGAAGGUAGUGAACAGAAGUUGUGAGCGAGCGUCAUGUGUGCCCUUUGGGUCUGACUCAACACACUAACUUAGCACUGAAGGAGUGCAGAGGAACCUCUCACACUCAACUCUGUUCCUCUCCCUGCCCUCCAAAGCCUCCCACAAGACCUUCUGAAAAAGAGAAUCGAGGUUCAAGAAACCCCCACUGAUAACAAACAGUCUUUCCAAAUAGGCUCAGGAAGCCGCUCCAUAGUGGGAUGUCAGGGGCUGAUCCAAAUUGCCGUCACCCCUGUAUCCACCAUUCCAUCUAAAUGUUAUGACCACUUUGCUUCCUACACAAAUUGGUCUUGCCAAUCACAGAACAAUCACUUCUAUCAACGACGCAAGACCCUCUUCUUCUAUACCCAAGACCCAUGGAAUCCCAGGUGGGAAGCGGGCGUUGUUGGUAAGCUCAACCGUAAGAACCAGUCUGGGUCUCCAAUAAGGACUAUUCACAUCCAGAGAAAGUAUGUCUCAAUUGUCCAACCUCUGGAAAUUGGAGAAAUAGGAGAAUUAAACACUCCUCCAAAGUUAUUACAUCCCUGACAUCCUCCCUCAUAAAUGGCACUAACUUGUCAUUUCACCUUCUGUUUCAGACCUCAGCCUACCAAUUCCUUAAUGUCACCCAACCUGGUCACUUCAAAGAUUGCUGGCUAUGUGUACCCCCUGGAAGUAACUUACAAUCACCUCUUACAGCUUCUCUAGAGAUGCUGCCACACAACCUCGCUUCACCUUUUAUCAGCUGCCCUGACUCCGAUGUUGCCAUGACUCCAUACCUUUUCUCUAUCUCUCUUUUCAUGGCAGACUAUUUUAGGACAUCCGGGACACACUCUGUAGGAACGCUAAGCUCCCUAGACUGUAUCAGAAUCAUAACCCUUGAUACCUCACCUCUGCCACAGUGCCCUGAAGACCAGAACACGCCAAUUCUCUCUGGUACUCAGGUCUAUCAUCAUUUACCUGCAAGCUGGGCAGUAGUUUGCACAUUGGUCUCUUUUUUCCAAAUUAGGAGUAAUCCACAGGGAAGAGCCGCUACCAAUCCUGGUGUGGACUCAAUAGCUGCCCAACAUAACAAAAGGGUAGUGAAAUCCUGUCACUCUUGGUCCGUGUAGGAAUAACUGAAGGUGUUGCUCCCGGAACGGCAGGACUGAACACCUCUCUAACCUUAUACAACCAGUUCUCUUCCCAGCUUGUCUGCAAUCUUCAAGAGGUGGCUCAAACCAAGCUCACUCUCCAAGGACAGAUCGAUUCCCUGGCAACAGUGAUGCUUCAAGACCUAUGGGGACUGGAUUUUCUUACAGCUAUAGAGGGUGGCCUUGGGUUUUAUUCUCCAGCAAGAAUGCUGCUUCUAUGUCAACCAGUCAGGUACAGUAAAAACCAAACCUCAACGACUCCAAACAGACCCCCAAGAACACAGAGAACAGCUUGAUGCCUCUGAUCCCUGGGUUUUCACAAACCCCAUAUGGAAAUGGAUACUGCCCUUCCUAACCCAUCUUCUUCUCAUUUUUCUGUUUUUAACUAUUUGUUCCCUGGUUCAUUAAUUUCUUCUCUACAGUCCUCCAAUGACAAAUUCAAAAAAGUUCCAACCAACCAAUUAAUCAGUUCCUUUUUACAUGAUUACCAACCACUGUCCACAGAAGAACCUGAUGCGACCGAACAUUGAAUGAGUCUUGAUGGUGAGGGUCAGCUACACCCCAAAAUUAACAACACCCCUAGACAACAGGAAGCAGUUUAAGAGAUCCGAUGCCCCUAUUCCCACUUUACAACCGGCCCGUCCCCUUUUUUGAUUCUCCUCUUUAUGAUUAGGAAAAGAGAGGAUUGCUGACAACUAGGUACAUCCAUGGACAGCUAGAAAUGAUUUCGCAACAAUCAGGCAUCUUUACAGCCAGCCCUCGAGGGACCUAAUGAUGAGACAUGUCAUCUCUAGCAGCUCAAGAGGAAACAGCGUUGCUGCUGUCUGUCUCUUUGCACAUGUGCCACGGGCCCAAUAAAAGCCUCGUUCUCCCUGCCCCCUUCUCUCCUCUCUCCUCCCUCUCCCAGAGGCUGCCUCUAUUUCCCCUCCUAAUAAACCUCACACUGAGACCGGCUGCAGGGCGGAGAUUUGUGAUUUGUUUGGGACCACUUAAUUCUAACACCUGUGGUCUCUGUUUCAACAUUGGCCCCUCCUUUGGCCUACUCUGUCUCUCUUCCACUCUGACAUCCAUGACAUCCAUAGUCUACAGGCAGCCUCCUUCUCUCCAUGGAACUCUGAGGAGUCGUUUACUGCCUCUUCCCCUAGGACGCCAGCUCCACCAGGACACAGAAUAUCUCCUUUACUGCUACACACCUUCCCCUUAACCCGUGGCAGAGAUAAAAACAAAUGCAUUGGAAUGUAUGCUACCGUGCUCCCCACAGUGAUGAUAAUGGACUAAACCUCUGAAACUGUAAGCCAGCUCUAGUUAAAUGCUUUCUAAGGGUUGCUGUGGUCCUGGUGUCUCUUCACAGCAACAAAACACUGGCUUAGACACCUACUGCACAGUACCCCCUACAUCAGGAUCAUCUCUUAAUCGUGUAGAGUAGGAGCCGGCUUGACAUGAGAUCAGCUUCCUUGUUUCCCAGUGGGGACAUUCUGAAGUUUGUUCCAGAGGGUUCUUUCCAGAACUCAGACCACAGAAUCCCUUGCCAACCUCCACACCGACUUGCCUUGUUCUGUUGUCUCCUUUAACCCUUAGCAUGGCUUUUACUUUAUUUCUCAAUUCGAUGACUUAUUUGACAUCUUUGUUUCAGGGUCUGCUUUUAAAUGAACCCAAAUUAGGAAGUCACAAUCUGGGUUUGUGUACUGUCCCAUUAGUAGUGGGCUCAUGAGUUUUAUGUUAUGGAAUGUAAAAAUACUUAGCAUGACCCAGACAUAGGAAGUCCAUCUGCUCUGGUACUCCCACUUCCCCGUUUUCCUCCGCUGACCACCAGCAUCUGGCUAUUUCAGUCAGCAUUUAGAAUCUAGUCUGUUUCCAAUUCCUUCUGCACUUGGCCAUUUGUGUUUGUUGCUUCUGCCUGAGUAGCCUGUCAGGAUCAUCCAUGAGGCCCCCACCCAGGUAUCCCUUCCUCAUGGGGGUUUUGGGCUCUCCAGACUUCCCAUGAUCCUCUUGCAGUUUCCCUCAUGACACUUGCCACAUCACCCACUUCCUGAGGAUGAUAAUCUGCUCAGGUGUGGGUCCCACAAGGGCCCAAGCACACUGGUGCAUCGUGAGGCUCACUGGACAACCACAGGCAGCAUGUUCCUUUAACCCUGUCAUCCAGGGCAGCAAAUUAGACAUGCUGAUUAGACAGAGCUGGGAACACCAGUGGGAACGGUCUGAGAGAAAGUCCCAUUGUACCCCAGGGCAUGCUCGUUAGCAACCUGGGAGGAAGCAGAGGCUGCCAGUCAGUCCGUGGCAGUGGAGGCUUCUUGGACACAGACAUGAGCUGUCUCUUCGGUCUAUAACCAACUGAUUAUCCAGGAGAGGCUGCCUCUCAUUUCUAAGUGGACAACCCCACUGGUUUAUAAGGUGUUGUGCUCACACUUUCAGGGUAUGUAGAGGUUCAUACACGAACCACCAUCACACUCAACGUCCAACUGUGGCGUAGCUCAGUUCCUUUCCAAUUUGAGUUCACAAUAAAAAAUACAACAAAGAUUUCAAAGGAAAGGGAACAAAAGCUGAGGUCUUCCUUUCUGUGAGCCAACAGAGCACACAAAGCCACACCUGGAGUUACUGCUCUGGAGGGAUUCAGGAGAAAGCCAAGCCCCCAGGGGGGCUCCUCUGAAAUGUAGAUUCUAAUGCGGGAGGCCUGGGCCUGUCACAGGAUUCUGCAUUUUAACCAGCUCCUGUAGUGCCAAAGAUCUGAGUCUGUGUACUGUCCCAUUAGUAGUUGACACCCUACUUUUCAAAUAUUCUUAAGCCACUAAAAUUUAGGUGUCUAAACCAGGCAGUAGGACGUGCUUUCUUCUUUUCUUUUCUUCUCUUUUCUUUUCUGUGAUUUCCUUCUAUCUCAGAGUCAUUCCCCCCACCCGCCCCCCAGGGGGAAUCAGUGGAAUGAGUAGCCUUCACUGUGUUAUUAAAUGACAGCCCAUUGGAGAACUCAUCAAGUAGAGGAGAGCUGGACAAAUUAAGUGUGUAGACUCUUCCUUUCUCCUGCACUUUACAAUAUCCCCUGGUAAGUUUCUACUGAUUGCAAAAGCUCUCUGGGCCUCAUGAUGAAAUGGAUGCUGGUGUGUUUUCACGUGUCAUUUUAUAGAUAUUUAUAUUUAUGAGCAGAAACCAGUAUGAAUACAAAGGGAGGUGUGUGUGUAUGUGCGUGUGUAACAGAGAGAGAUGGGAGGGAGGGAGAGAGAGAGAGAGAGAGCCCACUGACCUGCUGCUGUGGUAGAUGGGGCCAACUCUAUAAACUCCCUGUGCUCAGGGAUGCUGUGAGGAUGUCCCAGCUAGUGACAGAGCCUGAGUGAUUUGUUGGCAUUGGUGAACUUACUGCCUUGCCCUCUGGGCAUCUGUAGUGUUGUAUCAGGAGGGCAAGAGGAUUCCAAAUAGAUUUAAUAUUCCCUGUAUGAGAUUCAACCAUCUGCCCGCCAGCUCUCAGUGUGAGCAUAAUAUAUGUAUGCCUCCAGAAUCGAACACAAAGAGCCCACUCUCCCCUUUCUUCCCCACCCCACAAGAGCUUUUAAUGUGGAACAAUUGUGUUUUCCUUGUCUGUGGAGUAGGUUAUUAGGGUUACCAUUUUUGCUAUUAUAUUUACUUUUGUUUUGUUUUCUGAUGCCUCCGGCAUAUUUGCAUGACUGUUUCCCAUCUUCCCAAUAUCUGUCUAUCGCCUGCAGACUGCAUCCGCCAAGCAAGAAUCAAGAAGCUCCUUCAUCGUAAGGUAGAUUGUCCGAGGGUGCGGGUCUCACAAACACUAGUGCACACCACCCACAAUGGCAUAGUGAGGCUGGUAUCUACGGCUUAUACACGGUGGUUGCUGUGUGGACAUUCCGAGUCUGUGCAGAUUAGACCAUGGAUGGCUGACCGUUCUUCCCAGGCUGAAGCUGAUGCAGUUUUCCUGAACUUCUUUUUUUCUGCCUUUGAGAGCAAUUAGCAGCGAGUUAGUCUUCAGUAACUAUAGCUCACGGAGGGGCCAAAGGUAUAGCCAUGAUAGAUUGCUCCCUUAAAAUACUCUGCCAUGUUAAGUAAUCGCCAUGGAGGGAAUGUGAACGAUGAGCGAUAGAAUAAGUGUUGACUCAAUGUAACGGAGUUCAUGAAAUCUCACUUAGGUUAGAUACUUUGGCAAGAGAGUUUGUAAAGCUUUUUAAUUCACAUGACAGUUGAGUGAAAACAGUUUUGGAUUUCUUCAGGAAUUAUUUGGAGGUGGGGAUGGAUACUGGAUACAUAAUGAAUGUGACAUGUCAGUUGGGUGGCAGUAGCCUGUCCUCUCUGUGACACCCACCAGCGGUAGGUGUGGUUAUGUUUGAUGAUACUGUCUGGCAGACAGUGGAGCCUCAGAGGUAGCUUUGUCCAAAAUUCUUCAAUCUUACUGCGUAUCCAAUACAGACCACAUCAGGAGCUCUGUGGGAAGGUAUAACUCAUGCCAACUUUUAAGGGGAUGGAGUGGGUCUGGCUAGAGUUGGGCUCCAGCCAUGCAUUAGCCCAACUGUUUGUCUUUUUGGACUUCCAAGGAUGAAGGAAAUGUCCCUUAUGUGUGGAGCAAUGAAGUAUAAUCAUAGCUGCUGUCUGACUCAAGCCCUUGGAUUAUCUUUGACUCUUUAGUCUCUCUCUCUCUCCCCUUCUAUGUGUAUGUAUGUGUGUGUGUGUGUCUGUAUGUCUGUGUGUAUAUGUCUGUUAGGAGGGCAGAGGAAGAUAUCAUGUACCCUGUUCUAUCUUUCAUUCUCUCCCUGUUCCUUCGAUACAGGGUCUCUCAAUGGAUCUGGGGCUAGGCUGGCCGCCAGAAAACCCCGGGAAUCCUCCAGCAUUCACCUGCUCUCGGCACUGGGGUUAUAGAUACGCAUGGCCACACGGAGCUUUUCCUCUCAAAGAUCAGCGAGAUAAUUUGCAAGCAAAAUCUCAGCGCUGAGAGACAGGUUAGAGAAGGAUGUAGAAACCCCACAGGCUGGGCACUGAGUUGGUGAUCGAAUGGAAAAGGUAUAAACUCUCAGGGGACUUAGACCCAGGCCCUGAUGUAGGGAGUUACUGGGUAAAGGUAAGCAAAAGCAAUUAGUUUGUGUGUGUGUGUGUAAGCACACACUUAUGAACUGGUGCAUUUUGGGUUCAUCUAGAUGAUCUUAAGAAUAUGUUUUCUUUGAUGUAAAUUGGUGUGUGUUUGUGUGUGUGUGUGUUUGUGUGUUUAUGUGUAAGCACACACUUAUGAACUGGGGCAUUUUGGGUUCAUCUAGAUGAUCUUAAGAAUAUGUUUUCUUUGAUGUAGAUUGGUACCUAGCAGCCAGUGAUGGGAAAACGCCUCCUCCAUACUCAGCUUUGUCACCCAACCUCUUGUGAAGACAGGAUGGAGCCCAGAUAGAGGCCUCCUGCUGACUCCUUGUGCAAAGAGAGGAAACAAGGGUCAAUGCUAACAAGUGAAACACUGGCUUAAAAUAUGAAUCUGCUCUCUAUCAAAUGCUCGUGCAGUCUUUAAAGGAGAGGAGGCAGAGGAGACAUCGAAGAGGAGAGGAUCUGGGAAGGAGAGGAUCUGGGAGGAUGGAGUCUAGAUCACAAGGGAACAUACAGCAGCCAGAAGCCAGAGAGCUUUGAAUCUUUGAAGGACAGAAACCCCAUUGCUGUUGGAAGAUGGAGAAGGUGACAAGAAGAAGCACAGGCAGCCGGAAUAUGUCAUGGCUUUUAAAAAUAUUUAUUUAUAGGAAAACUAUAAACCCAUGUUUAAAUAAACUCUGUUCUUGGUCAGCUUUUCAUUGGGACUAAGACGUUUGAGCAACCGUGGUGGGUGUGUUAGAAUAUCUCUCUCCUCUUUCUCCCUGAGACUGUUGUAGGAUCCCAUUCUUUGCCAAUUAGAGCCCUUACUUUAACUGUCGACACACUCUGAGGCUGAGACUUGAAUUUUCGCUGUAGUUCAG
rnacentral:lncRNA from 1 species